UAUUUCAUUCCAUUUUAUCAUCAUAAAUCAGUGACACACAUGUAAAGUCGGGUUUUAAUUUAUUCAUAAAAAGAUCGAAACUGUUUGGAUGUCAUUGCAAUGCAUUUUUCGUUUUAUCCUUAUGUGAACAUGGAGGUAUGUAUUUGUUUAAUACCGACAAACAAUGCGUUUAUUCGAAUGACAUGGGAUGAACAACUUACCUGAAUGUAUGCUUUUAGCCCUUUUGGAUGUUAACCCUCUCUUUUUGGUUGUUUUCUCCCAAUACGUAUGACCCUUUUUGUGUAAUGUCGUAA